rnacentral:tmRNA from 1 species
GGGGCUGACAUGGUUUCGACGGGAAUGUUAGGGCAUAGAUGGCAAGUCGUAAGCUAUACGUUACAUGCAAAUUAAAAAUAACUGGAAACAGUAAUCAAUUAGCUUUCGCUUAAUUAUAAGGAAGCAUCUUACUAUUUUCUUAUCUACGGAAAAUAAUUAAGAUUCAUUUUAGUAGAUUAUAUUUUAGUGAUGACUAUAACUAAAAUGAACUUUAUAGCCUAGUCUAUUAUCUUGGUCGUUAACUACUUGGAUAGUAGAUGAAUUUAAUUAGUUAACUAAACUUGUAGAGGUUUAUGUAGCGAUGUUUUCGGACAGGAGUUCGAUUCUCCUCAGCUCCACCA